AUUGAACGCUGGCGGCAUGCCUUACACAUGCAAGUCGAACGGUAACAGGUCUUCGGAUGCUGACGAGUGGCGAACGGGUGAGUAAUACAUCGGAACGUGCCUAGUAGUGGGGGAUAACUACUCGAAAGAGUGGCUAAUACCGCAUGAGAUCUACGGAUGAAAGCAGGGGAUCGCAAGACCUUGUGCUACUAGAGCGGCCGAUGGCAGAUUAGGUAGUUGGUGGGAUAAAAGCUUACCAAGCCGACGAUCUGUAGCUGGUCUGAGAGGACGAUCAGCCAGACUGGGACUGAGAAACGGCCCAGACUCCUACGGGAGGCAGCAGUGGGGAAUUUUGGACAAUGGGCGCAAGCCUGAUCCAGCAAUGCCGCGUGCGGGAUGAAGGCCUUCGGGUUGUAAACUGCUUUUGUACGGAACGAAAAGCCCCGGGUUAAUACCCUGGGGUCAUGACGGUACCGUAAGAAUAAGCACCGGCUAACUACGUGCCAGCCGCCGCUGUAA
rnacentral:rRNA from 1 species